rnacentral:rRNA from 1 species
UGGGGAAUAUUGCACAAUGGGCGCAAGCCUGAUGCAGCCAUGCCGCGUGUAUGAAGAAGGCCUUCGGGUUGUAAAGUACUUUCAGUCGGGAGGAAGGUGGUAAGGUUAAUAACCUUAUCAAUUGACGUUACCGACAGAAGAAGCACCGGCUAACUCCGUGCCAGCAGCCGCGGUAAUACGGAGGGUGCAAGCGUUAAUCGGAAUUACUGGGCGUAAAGCGCACGCAGGCGGUUGAUUGAGUCAGAUGUGAAAUCCCCGGGCUUAACCCGGGAAUUGCAUCUGAUACUGGUCAGCUAGAGUCUGGUAGAGGGGGGUAGAAUUCCAGGUGUAGCGGUGAAAUGCGUAGAGAUCUGGAGGAAUACCGGUGGCGAAGGCGGCCCCCUGGACGAAGACUGACGCUCAGGUGCGAAAGCGUGGGGAGCAAACAGG